CGACCUUCGGGAGCUUGCACAGGUGCUGCAUGGCUGUCGUCAGCUCGUGUCGUGAGAUGUUCGGUUAAGUCCGCUAACGAGCGCAACCCUCGCUGUGUGUUACAAGUGUCACACGGGUACUGCCGGUCUUAAAGCCGGAGGAAGGUGGGGAUGACGUCAAGUCAGCAUGGCCUUUAUGUCCUGGGCUACACACACGCUACAAUGGCCAACACAAUAGGUUGCUAAGCCGCGAGGUGGAGCCAAUCCAGCAAAACUUCCCUCAGUUCAGAUUGCAGGCUGCAACUCGCCUGCAUGAAGUUGGAGUUGCUAGUAAACGCAGGUCAGCCAUACUGCGUUGAAUACGUUCCCGGGGCUU
rnacentral:rRNA from 1 species